AGUGAACGCUGGCGGUAGGCCUAACACAUGCAAGUCGAACGGCAGCACAGUAAGAGCUUGCUCUUACGGGUGGCGAGUGGCGGACGGGUGAGGAAUACAUCGGAAUCUACUUUUUCGUGGGGGAUAACGUAGGGAAACUUACGCUAAUACCGCAUACGACCUACGGGUGAAAGCAGGGGAUCUUCGGACCUUGCGCGAUUGAAUGAGCCGAUGUCGGAUUAGCAAGUUGGCGGGGUAAAGGCCCACCAAGGCGACGAUCCGUAGCUGGUCUGAGAGGAUGAUCAGCCACACUGGAACUGAGACACGGUCCAGACUCCUACGGGAGGCAGCAGUGGGGAAUAUUGGACAAUGGGCGCAAGCCUGAUCCAGCCAUACCGCGUGGGUGAAGAAGGCCUUCGGGUUGUAAAGCCCUUUUGUUGGGAAAGAAAAGCAGCAGGUUAAUACCCCGCUGUUCUGACGGUGCCCAAAGAAUAAGCACCGGCUAACUUCGUG
rnacentral:rRNA from 1 species